rnacentral:rRNA from 1 species
UACGUAGGGUGCGAGCGUUGUCCGGAAUUAUUGGGCGUAAAGAGCUCGUAGGCGGUGUGUCACGUCGGCCGUGAAAACCUGCAGCUUAACUGUGGGCUUGCGGUCGAUACGGGCAUCACUGGAGUUCGGCAGGGGAGACUGGAAUUCCUGGUGUAGCGGUGAAAUGCGCAGAUAUCAGGAGGAACACCGGUGGCGAAGGCGGGUCUCUGGGCCACUACUGACGCUGAGAAGCGAAAGCAUGGGGAGCGAACAGG